rnacentral:rRNA from 1 species
GAAACCAACAGGGAUUGCCCCAGUAACGGGGAGUGAAGCGGCAACAGCUCAAAUUUGAAAUUUGGCCCCCCCCCCCGCGGGGGCCCGAGUUGUAAUUUGCAGAGGAUGCUUUUGGCGAGGCGCCUUCCGAGUUCCCUGGAACGGGACGCCGCAGAGGGUGAGAGCCCCGUCUGGUCGGACGCCGAGCCUCUGUAAAGCUCCUUCGACGAGUCGAGUAGUUUGGGAAUGCUGCUCUAAACGGGAGGUAUAUGUCUUCUAAAGCUAAAUAUCGGCCAGAGACCGAUAGCGCACAAGUAGAGUGAUCGAAAGAUGAAAAGCACUUUGAAAAGAGGGUUAAACAGUACGUGAAAUUGUUGAAAGGGAAGCGCUCGUGACCAGACUCGGGCGGGGCGGAUCACCCGGCGUUCUCGCCGGGGCACUCCGCCUGGCCCGGGCCAGCAUCAGCUCGCGCCGGGGGACAAAGGCGGCGGGAACGUGGCUCCUCCGGGAGUGUUAUAGCCCGCCGCGCAAUGCCCUGGGGCGGGCUGAGGUUCGCGCGUCCUCGCAAGGAUGCUGGCGUAAUGGUCACCAGCGACCCGUCUUGAAACACGGACCAAGGAGUCGUCUUCGUAUGCGAGUGUUCGGGUGUCAAACCCCUACGCGGAAUGAAAGUGAACGCGGGUGAGAGCUUCGGCGCAUCAUCGACCGAUCCUGAUGUUCUCGGAUGGAUUUGAGUAGGAGCAUACGGGGCCGGACCCGAAAGAAGGUGAACUAUGCCUGUAUAGGGUGAAGCCAGAGGAAACUCUGGUGGAGGCUCGCAGCGGUUCUGACGUGCAAAUCGAUCGUCAAAUAUGGGCAUGGGGGCGAAAGACUAAUCGAACCUUCUAGUAGCUGGUUUCCGCCGAAGUUUCCCUCAGGAUAGCAGUGCUGGUCUCAGUUUUAUGAGGUAAAGCGAAUGAUUAGGGACCCGGGGGCGCCUUCAGCCUUCAUCCAUUCUCAA